ACUCCAUUGUUCUUGACUUCUUCGGGCUCUAGCCAGACUCUCCAAAGACAGGGUUGCAUUCCCUUUCCAGUAUGGUCCAUGGAAAACAUGCAGAGGAAAUGGCCCCACAGCAUUGGCUGAGUGUUUAUGUCUUCCAACCGAGUCUCCAUUGAACUGUUGUGGUGUUGCUGACUUGCCCUAGGUCACCUGAGUUAAAUGGGUUGCAUUCCCUUUCCAGUAUGGUCCAUGGAAAACAUGCAGAGGAAAUGGCCCCACAGCAUUGGCUGAGUGUUUAUGUCAUCCAACCGAGUCUCCAUCGAACUGUUGUGGUGUUGCUGACUUGCCCUAGGUCACUUGAGUUAAAUGAGAUGCAUUCCUUUUCCUUCAUGGGCCAUGAGUGACAUCCAGAGAAAGUGUCACCACAACACUGGACAAAAGUUGAUGAUAUCUGAAUGAGCUACCAGUAAACCCCCCCCUUUUUUUGCUGUUAUUGCCUUGCCUGAGGAAAAGCGAGUUAAAAGAUGAUACCUACAGUGAUGAGUUGGAGUUAUAGAUGGUGCCAUUUCUUCUACCAGCAGCUUCACCAAAACAAUCUCCAUUAUACAUGCUGAUGCCUCUUUCCUGUGUAGCAGCAGACACCACCUGCAGAUAAGAAAUGCUUAAGUGAGAAAUGCUCAUUUUGGGAUAUCAUCGCUGAAACUAUAAUUUGGGCAUGGUGACUGUUUCCCUUGCUGCCACUUGACUCAAUCUCAGAAGUUUAAUAGAUCAAAUAAUAUUGUACAAUAUGCUCAAAAUGGUGGAAGUAAUUAGUGCUCCUAUAAAUAUAUAUUGACAAUUUAAAUAUAACAUAUUAAAAAUAAAAUGCAUGAUUAAACAAACCUGAAUGCAUACUUAUAUAAUUAAUACAUAAAAUAUGUGCUGCCUCUUUUUUGAAGGCUAUCCCCAUAGUUUCUCUCUGUUAAGAGAAGGAUAUACAUGCUUUUAAGCAAUAAAUAUACAAGCAGAUACACAUACUGUCUGGUGGGGGCACUUCUAGUAGUAAUGCCAUAUUAUUAUGCAAAUUGCUACUUUUGUUUGAGUCUUUUUGAUGAGCUUUUGCUACUAUGUCAUUUAUUGAAUGACUAUAUGACUGUUUUGUAGAUGAAAUAGAAUUAAAUAUUUUAAAUAUUGCUUAUACAUGCAUUUAUAUAGGUGCUAAUUUUCUGUGCAAUAGACUUCCGUAUAUAUUAACAUUUAUGCAUUCAUCUCCUCUAUUAAAGUAAAUUUACCUAGAACACAAAUUAUUGAAAUUAAGUAUAUUGACACUUAAUAUUUUUAUAAUUGUUAUGAUUCCUUUAAGAAUGUGCUUGAAGAGCUUUCUUGUAAGAAUCAAUGAAUUAGAUUGCCCAAUUUUUCAAAAUACAAUUAUGGUAGAUUUUACAAAUGAUUGAGAUCCUUUCCAGUGUGUUAGCCCAAAUUGUUGCUCUGACUUGUAUUUAUUUUAUUUUUGAGUUUGAUCAUUUUCAUGUUUAAUAGCCAUCUGUAUUAUUUUAAUUUCCUAUUUAUCUCAAAACUUGGGAGUAUUUAGUCUCUUUAAUGAUCUUAUAGUAUUUGGGAAAGAUAAGAUUUUGGAUUGUCA
rnacentral:lncRNA from 1 species